GACGAACGCUGGCGGCGUGCUUAACACAUGCAAGUCGAACGGAAAGGCCCUGCUUUUGUGGGGUGCUCGAGUGGCGAACGGGUGAGUAACACGUGAGUAACCUGCCCUUGACUUUGGGAUAACUUCAGGAAACUGGGGCUAAUACCGGAUAGGAGCUCCUGCUGCAUGGUGGGGGUUGGAAAGUUUCGGCGGUUGGGGAUGGACUCGCGGCUUAUCAGCUUGUUGGUGGGGUAGUGGCUUACCAAGGCUUUGACGGGUAGCCGGCCUGAGAGGGUGACCGGCCACAUUGGGACUGGGAUACGGCCCAGACUCCUACGGGAGGCAGCAGUGGGGAAUGUUGCACAAUGGGCGGAAGCCUGAUGCAGCAACGCCGCGUGCGGAAUGACGGCCUUCGGGUUGUAAACCGCUUUCGCCUGUGACGAAGCGUGAGGGACGGUAAUGGGUAAAGAAGCACCGGCAAACUACGU
rnacentral:rRNA from 1 species